ACAGGACCUGGAGUCAGCUCGGAGUGGGCGUGCACCCCAAGUGAAAAGUGAAGAAAGCAGGUGAGGACCACAGCCACAGCAGCACAGGAGGGAGUCAUGAUGUAAUCCUGAACCUGAAUCAGAUGCAGUAAAUCGAUUUGCAACCUAAGGAAAUUUCCCUGGCAAGUUCCUUCGAGCUUUCUGCAAUGAGUGCUUUUCAGCCACCAAUUUGCAGAUGCUACCUUGAUGCCAACCUGACUUCUCUGAGCAGAUGACUUUACCAAUGUGUCCUGGAACCCCACCUCUCCAGAGUCCUGCCCCACUAGGGAAAGAUAGAAACAAGCUGGGAAUAUGGAUUGACCUGCCAAUGUCCAUGUCCAGUGGAGAAGCAACUACAGAAGACAAACCUUCCACCUUCUGAACCCCAUAAAUAUCUCUGAUGUUUAUUCCAGUGAAGAGAAUGGGGCCACAGAACUCUGAUGACAGGAACAGUGUGGAAUUGUACCCCAGUUAUUUUGUAAUUUUGUAAAUCACUAAUAAAAAUAGAAAAAUGUUAA